GUUUGGACGUGCGCGCCCCCAGGCGGCGGAGCUGGCGCGGGCGGCCUUGCUCGGCAAGUCCCUAAUGGAGUGUGAGAUGCACUGGAGGUGGACUCUGUUUCGUGGUUCCAGGCGAUGCUGGGUAUAGACAUCUAGUUCAGGCAUUUCUGCCUCUCCCUGGCUACAGACAGCAGGAGAUAGAUUCUGGAAGUUUAAAGCCUUAAACAUGGCUGCCUCCUCAGCUGUCCCAGCUCAGAGCCAUGCCCAGAUCACUCCUGAUCGCCUUCACUCCCAGGAGGGAAAGGGCCCACCCUCAGUGUUGCCAGGGUUCCCUUCCACUCCUUGGACCUGCAGACCUGCAGGCCUGGGCAGACACAGCCAGAGGGAAGAUCCAAGGAUCAGUUCUUCGAGUGCAAUUUAAAGUAAAUAACCAGGAGCUGGACAGCUGGCUCAGGGGUUAAGGCGCUUGCCUUCAAAGCCUAAGGACCCUGGAUCAACUGAAGUAGUAAAGUCAGAUGCACAAGGUG